GACGAACGCUGGCGGCGUGCCUAAUACAUGCAAGUCGAACGCAGUGGGGACGGGUGAGUAACACGUGGGUAACCUCCCAUCAGAGGGGAUAACACUUGGAAACAGGUGCUAAACCGAUACUGAUGGAGGAACCCGCGGUGCAUUAGCUAGUUGGUGAGGUAACGGCUCACCAAGGCCACGAUGCAUAGCCGACCGGAUCGGGUGAUCGUCCACACUUGAACGGAGACACGGCCCAGAGGUCGACGGGAGGCAGCAGUAGGGAAUCUUCGGCAAUGGACGAAAGUCUGACCGAGCAACGCCGCGUGAUUGAAGAAGGUUUUCGGAUCGUAAAACUCUGUUGUUAGAUAAGCGGUAGCUAACCAGAAAGCCACGGCUAACUACGUGCCAGCAGCCGCGGUAAUAC
rnacentral:rRNA from 1 species